UGGGACAGAUAGCUCCAGAGAAAAAUAGCC
rnacentral:piRNA from 1 species